AUGGAGCGUUAUUGAUUUUCUUCGGAGAUCGUCAUCGCCAUCGCCAGAUUCGAUGACUGGCCUGUCACAGAGUUCUUCCUCUCCGAUCUCAUCAACGCCUUGGCCUCAUCAUGAGAGCUUCUAGGUACACUUUUUUUUUUUCUCCAAUUGAUAUCUCUUUUAAUGGUUUCGAUUUUGUUUCUUUCGAUCUCUGUCAGCUAGAGGCACAAGAAGCUGGGGUAUUGCUGCGAUGAAGAUCAAAGGCUUCUUGUUGCAGAGUUCAUGCCAAAUGAUACUCUUGCUCAGCUUUUGUUCCAUCAGAUAAACCAAACCAUGGAAUGGUCAGUGACGUUGCGAGCGGCAUGUCAUGUAGCCGAAGCAUUAGAUUAUUGUAGCCAUCCAAGUUCUGUUUGAUAAGGAUGAUGAUGCAUGUAUUUCCUGUUUCUGUUUAGUGAGGGAGAUCAUCGAUUAUGAUCAAAUAACAACAGGAAGUGUGAACCCUGAGACUGUGACAUACAGAUCUGGUACUAUACUUGUGAAUCUGCUAGAUGGAAUGCACAUUGCUCCAAGCCAUGUAAGUGAUUCUGUUUAAGCCCUCUCCUCUCUUGAAUUUGUGAUUGUAAUCAUUAGAUUCUCUGUCAUUGUCAAUGUCUUGCAACACAAGCCAAAUACAAAAGCGAGUUUUUCUUCAGUUUUAGGGUUUGGUCGAUUCGUGAUUGUUAUUUUCCUAAAUUUCGAACCUCUCUUUUUCAAAAUCAAAAAUUCGAUUUGGUUUUUCAUCAAGCAAAUACGAAAGCCUUCUUUUCUUAGUUGUGUUAUUGCAUCUUAAGGUUUUCAAUUUCAAAACUUGCGUUUCGCUUUAAAGAUUUUACGUUGUUGUUUCAAAUUGGGUUUCUGAUUGUUUUGUUUCUGCAAAUCAAAAGCCCUCUUUUUGCUUUGUGUUUUUUUCUUUUUCGAGGGGUUUUUUUUAUUUUUCUUGAUUAUAGUUUUCUUAAAUUUGAAACCUUUUCUGCAAAUUCAGAGUUUCGAUUGAUUUUUUUAUAUAUUUUCGUAAAUCAGAAAUCCCUCUUUAGAAUUCCUGUUUUGUUCUGUUUCGAGGGAUUUUUACUUCAAAUUUUUGUUUGUCUAAAGUUUUAUGUUUUCUUCAAACCCAAAAGAAAGGGACUACACAUUAUAUGAUUGUGUAUGUCCUAACUUGGGGAGAUGUUGCCUAUGUUAAACAAGCAGGAUGUGAUCAAAAUCUGUAAGACUUGUAAAAUUAUAUUAGACAAGCAAGAUUUUAUUGAAAUCUGUAAGGCUUGUAAAAUUAUGUAAGACAAGCAUCAUUUUGAUUGAAAUCUGUAAGUCUUGUUAAAUUAUGUAAUGCAAGCAUCAUUUUGAUUGAAA